CAGAGAUUGUCUUUCAGCUGGUGGUCAAGUGCCAGGCUCCAUCUAGAGGAAGGUUGUCAGGGGUCACUUGCAAUCCCUACAUUUGUGGCUGAGCCAGGCGCCAGGCUCCCAAGAACCUCACCUGUGACCCUGGACGUCCUCACAGGUUAAAGGGUCUCAGGGACCCAGAGGCCGGCAAUUUAGCUAUGGUGGACCAGAAAAGCCCUCUUCCCCAGAGGUGGGAGCAGGGAAGUGAGAAAGAAACACAGAUACACUGAGUUCCUGAAGGCAGAAAACGGGCAAAGAAGACAGAGAAACCUGGAGAGAUAUCAUGAGGCCUUGAGACCCACAAUGUCACAGAGAUAGAUUCACAGCACUAGAGAAACAGAAGCUUCUAGAACCCCGAGGACAGUGGGACAGGAUCUCACUAUGGCCUGAAACUCAGUUUGACUAAGAUGCAUGUGAGUACAUGUGCCUCCAGAGACCAGGAAAGUGCAUCAGAUACCCAAAUCUGGAGUUACAGGCAGCUGUGAACCCUCUGGGGUUGGUUCUGGGAACUGAACACCAGUUGUCUUCAAGAGCAAUACAUGUUAAGCUUUAAGCUGUACCUCCAGCCCCUCUUAUUAUUUUUUAUUUCAAGAUAGAGUCUCACUAAGUUGUCUAGGCUGGCCUCAAUUUAACAGUUUUCCUACUUCAGCUUUCUAGAGUUUUCUUUCUUACUAUACCUAAAUCAUAAAUUAAACUUUGCCAUAAAUAUAUAUGACAAAGAAAUAAAUAUAUUCUAUACAAGGUUCAGUACUAAUGGUUUCAGGUAAGUAUGUUGGAACAUACUUCAUUUCCCCACCAAUAAGAGUGAAUACUGCUGGCAUUGACAAUUACCACACACACUCCUUGUUGAGAGAUUCGAACACUUCCUGGGUUUAGUAGUCUCUACAGAGCAGAGUCAACAUGUAAGUCUCGACCCCUUGAGGGUCAAGUGACCCUUUCCUAGCAAAAUCACCUAAGACCAUCCUGCAUGUCAGAUAUCUACAUUAUAAUUCGUAACAGUAGCAAAACUAUAGUUUGAAGUAGAAAUGAAAAUAAUAUUAUGGUUCAGGGUCACUACAUCAUAAAGAACUGUAUUAAAGGGUUAUGGCAUUAGGAAGGUUGAGAACCACUGCUAUAAAGUAUAUCAUUUAAACACACAUCUUAUUAUCAGCCAUGGGUAUUAGUCUCCAUGUAAAGAUGAGGGACCCAGAUUCUGCCAUGGUAGGGAUGGAAAUCAGGGCCUCCCGUAUUCGAGGAAAGCACUCUUAUCAGUGAGCUAAAACCCCAUCUAGGACUUAAGGUUCUUAAUAGGGAAAAGCACAGACUCAUAAAAUAAGCCAGAGACUUGAGCCCAGGCUGCUUUGUCACUAAAUGCAAUAUUCCUCCUUUGAAGGUGUGAUGUGUCUGUAAAAACAUGUGAGUACUGGGGACCGGCACUGGCACAUUUUUACUUCUGCACACAGAAUCACAUGUGAUUUAAAAGCACACUUUUUAUCAGUCCCUAUACAUAGAGUAGGUGUCUAGGACUGCUGUCACACAUCCACAGUCCUGAUGACCAAUCUCUUGUCCUAGCUGGGAUUCAGCUGUGUUCUGUUGUGACUGGGUCUGACUGUGAGCACUAUGUGAGGUAACAGCCUAUAUCUGAGUCACCUCUUGGUCCUCAGUGUCACCCAACACAGGCGUGGCUCAGAGUAGGGACCAGGAAGAUGUUUGUUAAGUGAGUAAAUGGAGGGAUGGGUGGAUGUCAAAGGGGUUAUUUAGAGAUUAGUCUGGCACUUGCUUUAGCCUGUGGGAUAAGGCGACAUAAUUCCUGAGACAUGAGCCCUUUAUUACCAUCAGAAGUCAUGGGGGCAACUGCUCCUGUCCUCUGCUUCAGAAAAUUUCAAUUCACACAGAACCUAAGAGUCAUACCUGAAAUUCCUACAAAUCCCUGAAACUUAGGACCCAUCAUUUGUAUCAUUCUUGGAGACAGGAGUGUCCAUUUUCAACUCCUGGUGUUCAAGAUCUGCCAUUCCCAUCAUCCAUCCCCUGGGCUAAGUUGCUUGGCACAAAGCAUACCCAUGCACACACCCAUACAUAUACACAUAAUUAGAGUACUUAAAAUUUCAAAUGAAUUUAUUAAUUAAGGGCUAGGAAGAAGAUUCAACGGGUAAAAAGCAUUUGCCAUGCAAGCUUGAUGAUUCAAGUCUUCAGAACCCAUAUAAAAAAGCCAAAUGUGAUGUCUCACAACUAUAACUCAGCAAUCUUGUUUGUUUGUUUGUUUUCGAGACAGGGUUUCUCUGUGUAGCUUUUUGCCUUUUCCUGGAACUCACUUGGUAGCCCAGGUUGGCCUCGAACUCACAGAGAUCCGCCUGCCUCUGCCACCCAGUGCUGGGAUUAAAGGUGUGUGCCACCACCGCCUGGCUAAUAACUUAGCAAUCUUAAAAGCCAGAUACGAAAUAAAGGAGAAACUUCCUGAAGCUUGUGGACACAUGAGUGUCCCGCACAAUGAUAUUAAAUGAAUAAAAUUUAAAGUAAAGAUAUAUUUUUUAAUCGGCUCAGUUUUAUCCUCUCUGUUUACAUUGGCCUCACCUAAGUCUUUGAAACAGGCUGUGCUGCUCCCAUCACCUCACUGCACACGUCGAUAUGUUAUUUCCUAACUAGCAUAUAGUUGUUGGAUGAAAGGCCAGGUUUCGUUGUGAUAUUUUUGUCUAAGUUUGUCAUAUUUUGCUCAUAUUCACCUCCUUGUUGCCCUCUUUAGCUGCCUUUCCUCCCUGCUUCUUCCUCAUGGUUCCCUUCACGAUUGUAUCCAUUUUACAUUUUUAUGCAGGUGUGUACAUGCCUUUGCAUAAGAGUGGGUGCAUGCAGGGGCUCAAGGUUGAUGGCACAAAUUAUCCUCUAUUGAUGGUCUACCUUGUUCAUUGACGCAGGAGCUCUCAGCCAACCCUAGAGCUCACAGAUACAGCUAGUCUCAACAGCGAGCUUGACCUGUCUGCCUUUUGAGGCUGGAAUCACAGGCAGGCUGCCAUGUCCACUUGGUCCCCAGGUUUGCAGAAUAAGCUCUUCACCACUGAGCUGUCUCCCCCAGCCCCUUUUUACUUAAAAUGUUAGUUUUCUUUUAAGAGUUAUUUUAUUUGUAUGGGUCUUUUGUCUGCAUGUAUAUCUGUGCUCCACAUGUUUGCCUGGUGCCUGCGGAGGUGAGACAGAGACUAUUGUGGGCCACCAGGUCAGUGCUAGGAAUUAAAUCCAAGUCUUCUUUCUGCAAGAGCAGCUAGUACUCUGAAAUGAUGAGCCAUUCCUGCCGCUCUGCUGUCUUUUUAGCUUUUCAGGGUACUAAAUAAUGGGAUUCAUUAUGGCAUUUGCAUAUACCUAUACCGUGGACUCUGUUCACAUUCACCUCUACUUUACUUCAUUUAGCGCCCCCCCCACCUUCCACUGGCCUCCUACCCCAAAUAGCAAACAGUCCCUCUUACUUCUUUCAUAUCCUGUGUGUGUGUAGAUAGAUUCUACAUAUGUGAAAAAACAUGCCAUAUUUGUCUCGCCUGACACUGUCCUCUCUUCUUCCCUCUUCCUCUUCAAAAUACUCCCCCUUCUGUGUUCCCAUUAUAUACUUCAAAUAUAUGUUUGUGGAUCAGUGGAAAGAUGUAAUGUUUCAUAGCGAGAAAUCCACAGAGUCUGUUUAAAGGGAAAAGGAAUUAUUAAGGGGAAAACUCACUGUAUAGUACAGAAUAAUUGCAGGCUCUGGACUGCUGUUCUGGCUGCCUAAGUCAGUCUUAAGACCUGCAUCUCAUGUCUUAAGGAUCUUCGAGAGGCCAUGCCCCAUGGACAUGUACUUCAAGGUCAUAGGCAGGUAGUGCAGUAACCUGCUGUAUCUCUAGGGACGAUGCUUCAAGGUCAUAGACAGAACAGCUACCCACUACAAUGUUUGUCUUCCAAAUCUGGCAGUUUUGCUUGACAUGAUGACAUCCAGGUUCAUCCACUUUCCUGUAGAUGAUAUAAUUUCUUUCUUCUUUGUAAAUGUUUAAUUACGUUUUCUUAUGUGAAGACAGUAAAUGUGUGCCAUAGUCAGAGCACAAGCUGAAGGAGUCCAUUUUCUCCUUCCACCACAUGGGUCUUGGGGAUCAAACUCUGCUUGUCAGGUGACUUCAUGACAAGAUCCUGUACCCUCUGAGACAUUUUCCAGAAGUUUGUUCAUUAUUUAGUUUGAGAUAGGACUUACAUAGCCCAGGCUGGCCUUGAACUGUCUAUGUAGCUGACAAAAAACUUUAAACAUCUUAUCCUACUGCCUCUACAUCCCAGAUGCUGGGAUACAGAAAUGGACUAUCGUGCUGUUGUACACAGUGCUGGGAAUUAAACCCUGGACCCUGUAAUGACAGGCAAGCACUCUACCAACUGAGCUGCAUCACUGGUCCCAUAUUUUUUUCUUAUACCUAAUAAAAACAAUGUUUAUUUUGUCAA